rnacentral:rRNA from 1 species
UGCAAGUCGAGGGGCAGCAUGACGAUAGCUUGCUAUUGUUGAUGGCGACCGGCGCACGGGUGAGUAACGCGUAUCCAACCUGCCCUUGUCCACCGGAUAACCCGUCGAAAGGCGGACUAACACGGUAUGCAGUUCUCAGCGGGCAUCUAACGAGAACGAAAUGUGAAGGAGAAGGAUGGGGAUGCGUCUGAUUAGCUUGUUGGCGGGGUAACGGCCCACCAAGGCGACGAUCAGUAGGGGUUCUGAGAGGAAGGUCCCCCACAUUGGAACUGAGACACGGUCCAAACUCCUACGGGAGGCAGCAGUGAGGAAUAUUGGUCAAUGGGCGAGAGCCUGAACCAGCCAAGUAGCGUGCAGGAAGACGGCCCUAUGGGUUGUAAACUGCUUUUAUACGGGGAUAAAGUGGGUCACGUGUGGCUUAUUGCAGGUACCGUAUGAAUAAGGACCGGCUAAUUCCGUGCCAGCAGCCGCGGUAAUACGGAAGGUCCGGGCGUUAUCCGGAUUUAUUGGGUUUAAAGGGAGCGUAGGCCGUCUGUUAAGCGUGUUGUGAAAUGUCGGGGCUCAACCUGGGCAUUGCAGCGCGAACUGGCAGACUUGAGUGCGCAGGAAGUAGGCGGAAUUCGUCGUGUAGCGGUGAAAUGCUUAGAUAUGACGAAGAACUCCGAUUGCGAAGGCAGCCUGCUGUAGCGUAACUGACGCUGAAGCUCGAAAGCGUGGGUAUCGAACAGGAUUAGAUACCCUGGUAGUCCACGCGGUAAACGAUGGAUGCUCGCUGUUUGCGUCUGACGUAAGCGGCCAAGCGAAAGCGUUAAGCAUCCCACCUGGGGAGUACGCCGGCAACGGUGAAACUCAAAGGAAUUGACGG